AAGGGUUUAAGUUAAUUAAACUAAUARCCUUCAAAGUUAUAAAUAGAGRCAUAUCUCUAACCUUUA
rnacentral:tRNA from 1 species